rnacentral:rRNA from 1 species
AAAAGUCGUAACAAGGUUUCCGUAGGUGAACCUGCGGAAGGAUCAUUAUCGUACAUCGAAGGUGUGAGGGUUGUCGCUGACCCUCGAAAGGUCGUGCACGCCCAAUCGCUCUCGACACACACAUCCAUCUCACCCCCUUUUGUGCAUCUCCGCGUGGGUCCCCUUUUCGAAAAAGGGGGCCUGCGUUUUUACAUCAAACUUUGACUUAGUGUAGAAUGUCAUUUUUUCUUUUUGCGAUCAUACGCAAUCAAUACAACUUUCAACAACGGAUCUCUUGGCUCUCGCAUCGAUGAAGAACGCAGCGAAAUGCGAUACGUAAUGUGAAUUGCAGAAUUCAGUGAAUCAUCGAAUCUUUGAACGCACCUUGCGCCCCUUGGAAUUCCGAGGGGCACACCCGUUUGAGUGUCGUGAAAUUCUCAAAAGCCCUUUUCUUUUUUGAAGAAAGGUUUUUUGGACUUGGAGGAAUUGUUAUGCACGCUUUCAAGAAAAAAGAAAGCGAGCUCCUCUAAAAUGGAUUAGUGAGGUUCGCUUUGUCGGUCCUUGACGUGAUACGUUUGCUUCUACGUUUUGGAUUUGACGUGCGCUCGCUUCUAACCCGUCUCAUUGACGACGAUGGUGCUCCGGUCGCCCCCCUUGCCACACUUGUGUCGGUGGGAGGCUGGACCCACAAAAUAAAACCCCUUGACCUCAAAUCGGGUGAGACUACCCGCUGAACUUAAGCAUAUCAAUAAGCGGAGGA